ACCUAAGAUCAUUCAUCAAAAACAUGAUCAUUUUUUCAACAUUGUGGACUUAGAAAAUUUUUGGUAAUCCUCCCAUUUUUUUUUCCUUUUAAGGGCUGCCCCCAAAAACCAAAAUCACACUUCCGCUCAAAAUUUUCCGCUUCCGAGAGCUUGGUAAUAUCCCAUAAUACCCCCGAGUCACUAAUCCAAGCACCCAAAGAUUUUCCGAGCAAAGCCUCUAAUUACGACAUUUUAAAUUUUUGGUUCUUUGAGACACAACCCACACCAAAACCAUUUUUACCCCAUUUUUACCCAAAUCUUUUUGCAUGGUAAUUCGCCCUAGGC
rnacentral:lncRNA from 1 species